rnacentral:rRNA from 1 species
UACGAAGGGGGCGAGCGUUAUUCGGAAUCACUGGGCGUAAAGCGUGCGUAGGCUGUUUUGUAAGUUGGAAGUGAAAGCCCAGGGCUCAACCUUGGAAUUGCUUUCAAAACUGCAAGACUCGAGUUCGGGAGAGGAUAGCGGAAUUCCCAGUGUAGUAGUGAAAUACGUAGAUAUUGGGAGGAACACCAGUGGCGCAAGCGGCUAUCUGGACCGACACUGACGCUGAGGCACGAAAGCGUGGGGAUCAAACAGG